rnacentral:rRNA from 1 species
GACGAACGCUGGCGGCGUGCCUAAUACAUGCAAGUCGAACGCUUUUUCUUUCACCGGAGCUUGCUCCACCGAAAGAAAAAGAGUGGCGAACGGGUGAGUAACACGUGGGUAACCUGCCCAUCAGAAGGGGAUAACACUUGGAAACAGGUGCUAAUACCGUAUAACACUAGUUUCCGCAUGGAAGAAAGUUGAAAGGCGCUUUUGCGUCACUGAUGGAUGGAGCGGCGGUGCAUUAGCUAGUUGGUGAGGUAACGGCUCACCAAGGCAACGAUGCAUAGCCGACCUGAGAGGGUGAUCGGCCACACUGGGACUGAGACACGGCCCAGACUCCUACGGGAGGCAGCAGUAGGGAAUCUUCGGCAAUGGACGAAAGUCUGACCGAGCAACGCCGCGUGAGUGAAGAAGGUUUUCGGAUCGUAAAACUCUGUUGUUAGAGAAGAACAAGGAUGAGAGUAAAAUGUUCAUCCCUUGACGGUAUCUAACCAGAAAGCCACGGCUAACUACGUGCCAGCAGCCGCAGUAA